rnacentral:rRNA from 1 species
UCAGGAUGAACGCUAGCUACAGGACUUAACACAUGCAAGUCGAGGGGAAACGAUAGAGAAAGCUUGCUUUUUCUAGGCGUCGACCGGCGCACGGGUGAGUAACGCGUAUCCAACCUGCCCAUCACUUGGGGAUAACCUUGCGAAAGUAAGACUAGUACCCAAUGACGUCUCUAGAAGACAUCUGAAGGAGAUUAAAGAUUUAUCGGGUGAUGGAUGGGGAUGCGUCUGAUUAGCUUGUUGGCGGGGUAACGGCCCACCAAGGCGACGAUGGAUAGGGGUUCUGAGAGGAAGGUCCCCCACAUUGGUACUGAGACACGGACCAAACUCCUACGGGAGGCAGCAGUGAGGAAUAUUGGGUCAAUGGCCGAGAGGCUGAACCAGCCAAGUCGCGUGAAGGAAGAAGGAUCUAUGGUUUGUAAACUUCUUUUAUAGGGGAAUAAAGUGGAGGACGUGUCCUUUUUUGUAUGUACCCUAUGAAUAAGCAUCGGCUAACUCCGUG